GUCGAACGAAACUUCUUUAUCACCGAGUGCUUGCACUCACCGAUAAAGAGUUCAGUGGCGAACGGGUGAGUAACACGUGGGCAACCUGCCCAAAAGAGGGGGAUAACACUUGGAAACAGGUGCUAAUACCGCAUAACCAUAGUUACCGCAUGGUAACUAUGUAAAAGGUGGCUAUGCUACCGCUUUUGGAUGGGCCCGCGGCGCAUUAGCUAGUUGGUGGGGUAAAGGCUUACCAAGGCAAUGAUGCGUAGCCGAACUGAGAGGUUGAUCGGCCACAUUGGGACUGAGACACGGCCCAAACUCCUACGGGAGGCAGCAGUAGGGAAUCUUCCACAAUGGGCGAAAGCCUGAUGGAGCAACGCCGCGUGGGUGAAGAAGGUCUUCGGAUCGUAAAACCCUGUUGUUAGAGAAGAAAGUGCGUGAGAGUAACUGUUCACGUUUCGACGGUAUCUAACCAGAAAGCCACGGCUAACUACGUGCCAGCAGCCGCGGUAAUACGUAGGUGGCAAGCGUUAUCCGGAUUUAUUGGGCGUAAAGGGAACGCAGGCGGUCUUUUAAGUCUGAUGUGAAAGCCUUCGGCUUAACCGGAGUAGUGCAUUGGAAACUGGGAGACUUGAGUGCAGAAGAGGAGAGUGGAACUCCAUGUGUAGCGGUGAAAUGCGUAGAUAUAUGGAAGAACACCAGUGGCGAAAGCGGCUCUCUGGUCUGUAACUGACGCUGAGGUU
rnacentral:rRNA from 1 species